rnacentral:tRNA from 1 species
GAGCUGGUAGCAAAUGGUGGCGUUGCAGCGGAUUCUUACUCCGCAGGACGCGGGUUCGACUCCCGCCCAGCUCA